UUUACAUGGUUGCCAUUCAGAUAAGUAUAGGCAUCAGGUUUUUGCAUCUGGAACACCGACAGGAAGCCACCUCUAUCUACACUUCUACAGCGACAUCAACACUUCUACAGCCACAGAGAGACGAGACGAAACAAAAAGAGAGAGAUAGAGAGAAGAGAACGGGGGAAGAAGGAAAAGAAGAGAAGAGAGACGGGAACCUCUUGCUUAAAAGAAAACAAGUGGAAGGUAUUUGUGAGAAUCUGAUUUGUUGUUUUUGUCUCUAGAAAUUGAUUCAUCUCAAGCUGGUUUUUUGCGGUUCCUACUCUUUCAUUGAUAUUUGAUAUGAAGGUUUGUAAUUUCUUGCAGAAAGUUACGGAUUUAUGUUUAGUUUUUAACUUUCAAACCAAUUUGUACGAUAUUUCUACUCUGUGAAUGUUGUUCUGUUACUGAUUCAGAAAGAUUACAUCUUUAUUGAUUUUCUCUAUUCAUGUUUCAAUAGUUAUCAAUCGUUUGUAUUCUCUGUGUUUUUGUUCAAACUUCUUAGGUUCUUGCUUUUAGUAUUUCUGCUUUUCCAGUUUCUGUGCAUUUUCUGUCUCUUUGUAUUGGGUAUGUAUAAAAUCUCGGUGUUUUGUACUGGGGAUUAGUUUUUGAACUUCAAACUUCUUUUUUUCUUCUGGGUUUACCAUUUUUCUGCUUUUCAUAUUGAUUUUUAAUAUAAAACAAAGAACUUUUGUCAAUUUGUUUGAAAAUCUUCAAUGUAUUGAAUUAUAUUAUGCAUCUCAUUGAGUUUCGAUGAAUUUGUGAGACCAUUGAUUUGGUUGUUUAGUUUCGCGGCCUUAGUUUUUUAUUGAAAUUAAUUAGAUAAAUAGAUAACUUGAAAGAAGAUGGAAUUUGUUAAUAAGAAUGUUGUUAGCUAAAGAACUAGCUUGCUAGCUAGCUAGGCACUUAGAAUAGUCAAAUGUGAGAUCUUGCUGAAAAAAAAAAGUGGUCAAAUCCAUGAUAGUGUAUCUACGAAUUGGGAAAAGAGAUUUGGAGCUGUUGAAUUUAAGCCUUCUGGCAUAUUGAAGUCAAACAAGAGAGCUUUCAAGGGUUUUGAUCUCAGCCAAUGUAAAACUUUUGUUGGCCAUUUGCAUAACUUACAACUUUAAGUCCCCAAAUUUUGUUUUCAUGUAUCAUUCAUUUUGGAUUUUUCUGAAGGGGAUAGUAUUGAGGAAGCAGGGAUCUAGACCUUCUUGGCUCAUUUACUCACAAUGACCUUUUUUUGGGCGGUUCCUGCAAGUAGUCCUGACUUUAUAUUGUAGGAUUCUAUAAUUGCUGCAAUUGAGUUACCUUCUCAGCUUUGCCCUGUUGCUGGCCGUCAGACUCAUUUGGUCAGUAGAUGAAUUCUACAUGUAACAAAGGGGAAUACUAUUUUUUUUUUUGGUAAGUUCACAUUGAAUCUAUCACUGAAUAUAGAAUAUCAUAUCCAAAAAGUAACUUAGUAAGCACCACUGAAACAGUACAAAGAAAAUUUGGUUAUAGGUACGGUAUUUAUGAUGGUUUUUGGGUGGUAUGUUCUCUUUUGACUGCAAAGUUUGAAAUCGGCGUAGUUUCUGUACCAUAAGAUUGUCACCUUGCUGACUUGAUUAUGUGCCAAAGUGGAGAGGAAAAGAGCUAAAUUGAAAAUAAAGGUUGCAGAAGAAAUGCAGAUUGAGAAAAAAGGGAAAAUUAUUGCUGCCAUUCUUCUUUUAGAGGCUUUAGGGUUUAUCCCAGCUUCUGUAUCUUUGGGAAGUUCCUUGGUUUCUGUUUUGUAUCUUUGUACUCAUUGUUUUAGUAGUGUACUGUUUUGAAUAAAAUUUUGAUAUACAUCAGAAAGAGAAGAGGAAAAGCUUUCUGAUAGUCAUUGGUUUCUC